AACGAACGCUGGCGGCAUGCCUAACACAUGCAAGUCGAACGAGACCUUCGGGUCUAGUGGCGCACGGGUGCGUAACGCGUGGGAAUCUGCCCUUGGGUUCGGAAUAACAGUUGGAAACGACUGCUAAUACCGGAUGAUGACGUAAGUCCAAAGAUUUAUCGCCCAAGGAUGAGCCCGCGUAGGAUUAGCUAGUUGGUGAGGUAAAGGCUCACCAAGGCGACGAUCCUUAGCUGGUCUGAGAGGAUGAUCAGCCACACUGGGACUGAGACACGGCCCAGACUCCGACGGGAGGCAGCAGUGGGGAAUAUUGGACAAUGGGCGAAAGCCUGAUCCAGCAAUGCCGCGUGAGUGAUAAAGGCCUUAGGGUUGUAAAGCUCUUUUACCCGGGAUGAUAAUGACAGUACCGGGAGAAUAAGCUCCGGCUAACUCCGUG
rnacentral:rRNA from 1 species